CCUACGGGGGGCAGCAGUGAGGAAUAUUGGUCAAUAGACGAGAGUCUGAACCAGCCAAGUAGCGUGAAGGAUGACUGCCCUAUGGGUUGUAAACUUCUUUUAUAUGGGAAUAAAAUGUUCCACGUGUGGGAUUUUGUAUGUACCAUAUGAAUAAGGAUCGGCUAACUCCGUGCCAGCAGCCGCGGUAAUACGGAGGAUCCGAGCGUUAUCCGGAUUUAUUGGGUUUAAAGGGAGCGUAGGUGGAUUGUUAAGUCAGUUGUGAAAGUUUGCGGCUCAACCGUAAAAUUGCAGUUGAAACUGGCAGUCUUGAGUACAGUAGAGGUGGGCGGAAUUCGUGGUGUAGCGGUGAAAUGCUUAGAUAUCACGAAGAACUCCGAUUGCGAAGGCAGUUCACUGGACUGCAACUGACACUGAGGCUCGAAAGUGUGGGUAUCAAACAGGAUUAGAUACCCUAGUAGUC
rnacentral:rRNA from 1 species